rnacentral:rRNA from 1 species
UACGGGGGGUGCGAGCGUUGUUCGGAAUUACUGGGCAUAAAGGGUGCGUAGGUGGCUUGUUAAGUCAGGGGUGAAAGUUUUCGGCCCAACCGGAAAAUGGCCUUUGAUACUGGCGAGCUCGAGUGCGUGAGGGGUAACCGGAACGAGCAGUGUAGCGGUGAAAUGCGUAGAUAUUGCUCGGAAGGCCAACGGCGAAGGCAGGUUACUGGUACGCAACUGACACUGAGACACGAAAGCGUGGGGAGCAAACAGG